rnacentral:rRNA from 1 species
UCGGGAAUUUUGGGCAAUGGGCGAAAGCCUGACCCAGCAACGCCGCGUGAAGGAUGAAGUAUUUCGGUAUGUAAACUUCGUAAGAAUAGGAAGAAUCAAUGACGGUACUAUUUGUAAGCUCCGGCUAACUACGUGCCAGCAGCCGCGGUAAUACGUAGGGGGCAAGCGUUGUUCGGAUUUACUGGGCGUAAAGGGCGCGUAGGCGGCGUGACAAGUCACUUGUGAAAUCUCCGGGCUUAACUCGGAACGGUCAAGUGAUACUGUCGUGCUAGAGUGCAGAAAGGGCAACUGGAAUUCUUGGUGUAGCGGUGAAAUGCGUAGAUAUCAAGAGGAACACCUGAGGCGAAGGCGAGUUGCUAGGCUGACACUGACGCUGAGGCGCGAAAGCUAGGGGAGCGAA